rnacentral:rRNA from 1 species
UACGUAGGGGGCAAGCGUUGUCCGGAAUCAUUGGGCGUAAAGCGCGUGUAGGCGGCCGAGUAAGUCUGCUCUGAAAGCCCGGGGCUCAACCCCGGGAGGCGGGUGGAUACUGCUCGGCUCGAGUCCGGAAGAGGAGUGUGGAAUUCCGGGUGUAGCGGUGGAAUGCGUAGAGAUCCGGAAGAACACCGGAGGCGAAGGCGGCUUGCUGGGCGUGAUCUGACGCUGAGGCGCGAAAGCGUGGGGAGCGAACAGG